UACGUAGGGUGCAAGCGUUAAUCGGAAUUACUGGGCGUAAAGCGUGCGCAGGCGGCUCUGCAAGACAGAUGUGAAAUCCCCGGGCUCAACCUGGGAACUGCAUUUGUGACUGCAUAGCUAGAGUACGGUAGAGGGGGAUGGAAUUCCGCGUGUAGCAGUGAAAUGCGUAGAUAUGCGGAGGAACACCGAUGGCGAAGGCAAUCCCCUGGACCUGUACUGACGCUCAUGCACGAAAGCGUGGGGAGCAAACAGG
rnacentral:rRNA from 1 species